rfam:Plasmodium ovale wallikeri genome assembly, contig: contig100
UUAAUAUGAUGAUUAGUUUUUGUCUGUAUCAUAAGAGAUGAAGACAAUUGUACUGCCCCAAACUGAUUAAA